rnacentral:piRNA from 1 species
UAUUCACAGCUUGAUGGAAGCAGUUUG